rnacentral:rRNA from 1 species
AUGAGCACUUUUCUUCUGACCAAGAAUGUUUGUAAGAGUCUUACUUCACCAUUGGCUAAGUACUUUUGGAGUAGCUCUCUUGACAAGAAAUCAUUGCAUUGGGUGUCCUGGAAGGAGCUAGCUACACCUAAGUGCAAGGGUGGUAUGGGUUUCCGAGACCCUCAUUUUUUCAAUCUUGCUAUGUUGGGCAAACAAGGGUGGCGGUUCAUCACCAACCCCAAUUCCCUUUGUGCAAGAGUUUUGAAAGGCCGCUACUUCCCCGCUACUGAUUUCAUGCAGGCUACUGUACCGAAGUCGGCGUCGGCCACUUGGAGGGCGAUCAUGGCCGGGAGGGAGGCCCUACGAUCUGGACUGAUUUCCCGCGUGGGCGAUGGCUCCUCCAUUUCGGUUUGGAAUGACAAGUGGAUUCCAGGUACAAUAUUCAUGUCUCCUAUUUUUUGGCCACAACACGCGACUGUUUAG